rnacentral:rRNA from 1 species
UACGUAGGGUGCGAGCGUUGUCCGGAAUUACUGGGCGUAAAGCGUGCGCAGGCGGCUUUGCAAGACAGAUGUGAAAUCCCCGGGCUCAACCUGGGAACUGCAUUUGUGACUGCAUGGCUGGAGUGCGGCAGAGGGGGAUGGAAUUCCGCGUGUAGCAGUGAAAUGCGUAGAUAUGCGGAGGAACACCGAUGGCGAAGGCAAUCCCCUGGGCCUGCACUGACGCUCAUGCACGAAAGCGUGGGGAGCAAACAGG